UAAACUUUUGAUCGGAUAUUGAAUACGCCUUCCCCAUGAACUGUUGCAGCAUCUGAAUUCCAGGCCUCUGGGAAGGCUUCAUCAGCCUGUGUUCCCAUCCAGACUGCAAGCAUAAUUUCACCUCUCACCUUUCCUUCUCCACGUCGGUCUUCAAGUCUAUACCACUGAGGAGCCAAGGGACUAUCAGGUGGGACUCGAGUCGGCACUUCAUUAAGAUCAAACAACACCUUCCCAAGCAAAUACCUGAUUCCAUUCGGGGUGUGUUUUCUUCUCGUAAUGUCUUGUUGUACCUUUAUAGUUUCCAAGCUUUACCUCCGCAUAAGGAUCACAGCUUCCAGUGAUGGCACUAGUAGGAAGGUCUUUGGCUUUGACAACUCGAACAUACAAAUAGUACAUUUGUUCGACGAGGUCGUAAGUGCUGGUAAUUUUGUCUCCACUCAUCCACCCCCCACCACCUCGUACGCCCCCAUUUGGCCAUCUUUCUCCAAGUCGGGGAUUCGUGUCCUUCAGUUUGAAGUCCUCUUGGUUAUUGGGAAUGGGUUGCUGGUUGUUCUGGUGCAUGGUUCCUGCUGGUUUCUCAGAAUCUUUUUCUUGUGUUGGUGGUACUCUCUCCGGUUCUUUGUGUUUAUGAUUAGUUUCUCCACAACAGCAACAGAAGCUUUAGAAGUAUCAGCUACAAAGAGCGAGAAUGUUAGUAAAUGACUUCUCAUUUCCCAAAGGAAAAAAAAAAGAGAAGAUUGCUAGUAUCAAGAAACCUGAAACUCAAUUCUGAAGCAAAGGUAAACUACUGAUAAGGUAACAGAAAGAAAGAGAAAAGAAUAAUUCGGGUUUCGGGUUUGUUUCUUUUUCGCUUUCU